UAGGGAAUCUUCCGCAAUGGGCGAAAGCCUGACGGAGCAACGCCGCGUGAGUGAUGAAGGUCUUCGGAUCGUAAAACUCUGUUAUUAGGGAAGAACAAAUGUGUAAGUAACUAUGCACGUCUUGACGGUACCUAAUCAGAAAGCCACGGCUAACUACGUGCCAGCAGCCGCGGUAGUACGUAGGUGGCAAGCGUUAUCCGGAAUUAUUGGGCGUAAAGCGCGCGUAGGCGGUUUUUUAAGUCUGAUGUGAAAGCCCACGGCUCAACCGUGGAGGGUUAUUGGAAACUGGAAAACUUGAGUGCAGAAGAGGAAAGUGGAAUUCCAUGUGUAGCGGUGAAAUGCGCAGAGAUAUGGAGGAACACCAGUGGCGAAGGCGACUUUCUGGUCUGUAACUGACGCUGAUGUGCGAAAGCGUGGGGAUCAAACAGG
rnacentral:rRNA from 1 species